rnacentral:tRNA from 1 species
ACCUGGGUGGCUCAGUCGGUUAAGCGUCUGUCUUCAGCUCAGGUCAUGAUCUCAUGGUUUGUGGGUUCGAGCCCCAUGUCGGGUU